UACGGAGGGUGCAAGCGUUAUCCGGAUUUACUGGGUUUAAAGGGUGCGUAGGUGGGUUGGUAAGUCAGUGGUGAAAUACUUUCGCUUAACGAAGGAACUGCCAUUGGUACUACCAGUCUUGAAUACUGUGGAGGUAGGCGGAAUGCGUCAUGUAGCGGUGAAAUGCUUAGAUAUGACGCAGAACACCAAUUGCGAAGGCAGCUUGCUACACUGUUAUUGACACUGAGGCACGAAAGCGUGGGGAUCAAACAGG
rnacentral:rRNA from 1 species